UACGGGGGGAGCAAGGCGUUGUUCGGAUUUACUGGGCGUAAAGGGCGCGUAGGCGGUCAGCACAAGUCAGUUGUGAAAUCUCCGGGCUUAACUCGGAAAGGUCAACUGAUACUGUGCGACUAGAGUGCGGAAGGGGCAACUGGAAUUCUCGGUGUAGCGGUGAAAUGCGUAGAUAUCGAGAGGAACACCUGCGGCGAAGGCGGGUUGCUGGGCCGACACGUGACGCUGAUGCGCGAAAGCCAGGGGAGCGAACGGG
rnacentral:rRNA from 1 species